ensembl:lncRNA
UCAAGAUGCAUUUUAUUAAGUCUUCAUGGGUAUCUGGGACCUGGUGGAGUUAGUGGCACUCGGGAGUGGGAAUGGGAGAAAGGGCCAGCAUGAUCUUACUAUGCAGACUGUAUUUCCAGAAACCUGCUCAGCCAGCUCCUGAUGGAGAACACAUGUAGGAAGAAGUUGGUCCCACUGAAGCAGGAGAGCAAGGAGGUACAUCUUGAUUGUGCACUGAACCAGAAAUAUUUGGUUGACUUCAACAAGAAAGAUAAAGACCAUCAACGGCCAGAACCAGCAUUAUCAGGUCUCAGAAAGUGCAAGAGAGCUGGAAUUGGACACACCCCAGUAAGAGAGCUUCCUGAAGAAUAAGUUGCUUUCUCAGGAGUCCCUGAUGACCAACAUCCUGAAUGGUAACAACAUUUUUUGGAUGAGUAUUCAUCCUCUGAGUUAAUUU